UAGCAUAUCAAUAAGCGGAGGAAAAGAAACUAACAAGGAUUCCCAUAGUAACUGCGAGUGAAGCGGGAAAAGCUCAAAUUUAAAAUCUGGCGGUCUUUGGUCGUCCGAGUUGUAGUCUGGAGAAGUGCUUUCCGCGCUGGACCGUGUAUAAGUCUCUUGGAACAGAGCGUCAUAGAGGGUGAGAAUCCCGUCUUUGACACGGACUACCAGUGCUUUGUGAUGCGCUCUCAAAGAGUCGAGUUGUUUGGGAAUGCAGCUCAAAAUGGGUGGUGAAUUCCAUCUAAAGCUAAAUAUUGGCGAGAGACCGAUAGCGAACAAGUACCGUGAGGGAAAGAUGAAAAGCACUUUGGAAAGAGAGUUAAACAGUACGUGAAAUUGCUGAAAGGGAAACGCUUGAAGUCAGUCGCGUUGUCUGGGACUCAGCCUUGCUUUUGCUUGGUGCACUUUCCGGAUGACGGGCCAGCAUCGAUUUUGACCGUCGGAAAAGGGCUAGGGUAAUGUGGCACCUCCGGGUGUGUUAUAGACUUUAGUCGCAUACGGCGGUCGGGAUCGAGGAACGCAGCGCGCCGUAAGGCAGGGGUUCGCCCACUUUCGCGCUUAGGAUGCUGGCGUAAUGGCUUUAAACGACCCGUCUUGAAACACGGACCAAGGAGUCUAACAUACCUGCGAGUGUUUGGGUGGAAAACCCGAGCGCGUAAUGAAAGUGAAAGUUGAGACCUCUGUCGUGGAGGGCAUCGACGCCCGGACCUGACGUUCUCUGACGGAUCCGCGGUAGAGCAUGUAUGUUGGGACCCGAAAGAUGGUGAACUAUGCCUGAAUAGGGUGAAGCCAGAGGAAACUCUGGUGGAGGCUCGUAGCGAUUCUGACGUGCAAAUCGAUCGUCAAAUUUGGGUAUAGGGGCGAAAGACUAAUCGAACCAUCUAGUAGCUGGUUCCUGCCGAGCCCCCCCUCACAGAAAUAAAA
rnacentral:rRNA from 1 species